rnacentral:lncRNA from 1 species
AUGAAGACCAUGAGGCACAGAGAGGUUUGUUAACUUGCCCAAGGCCAAACAGCUGGUGGGGAAGCUGAGGCCCAGAGAGGUGAGUGGCAUGUCCGAAGCAGCCCAGCGCAGGGUGCGAGGUAGGCAGGGCUGGGCCCCCGGGCCUUCCCUGUGAACCAUCUGCCCGCCGGUUGCAGGAGGCAGUUCCUGGAAAGCAAGCGGGCCGAGUUCCUCACAGAGAUCAGAAGAGCAACAAGAUCUCCAGGCCAGGGCAGAGGUCCCCGCCCUGGAUGCUGGUGACACUUCCCCUGGGCGGGAGGGGCUGGGAGCAUGCAGAUCUCAGCCCUGAACAGCCUGUCCUCUCGCCUCGAGGUUCUUGGUAGGCUGGGAACAGCCUGUCCUGCUGAGCUUCCUGUCACCUCUCUAGCUGCCCACACGCCGCACAGCUGCCACCGCCGGCCCUGGCCCGGGAGAGGGGGGUCUCUGGGGAUCUUAGCAGGCCAUGGUGGGGGUGUCUUGGGGCCAGCCUGAACUGAAAGACCAUCACAGCUUGCAAGCCACCUCCCUGCUCUGUUGCUGGCUCUCCUUGAAGACAAGUGUUUUUCAAUUAACCAAAG